rnacentral:rRNA from 1 species
CAGCAGCCGCGGGAAUACGAAGGGUGCAAGCGUUAAUCGGAAUUACUGGGCGUAAAGGGUGCGUAGGCGGUUGUUUAAGUCUGUUGUGAAAUCCCCGGGCUCAACCUGGGAAUGGCAAUGGAAACUGGACGGCUAGAGUGUGUCAGAGGAUGGUGGAAUUCCCGGUGUAGCGGUGAAAUGCGUAGAGAUCGGGAGGAACAUCAGUGGCGAAGGCGGCCAUCUGGGACAACACUGACGCUGAAGCACGAAAGCGUGGGGAGCAAACAGGAUUAGAUACCCGCGUAGUCCCUGUCUCUUAUAC